rnacentral:tRNA from 1 species
GGGCAAGGUCGCGGUGACGUCUCCAAAGGAGAACAUGCCGGGUUCGAGUCCCGGCUUGCCCACCA